GGCCUUGCUCUUAUGUCAUCUGACUAAAAGUUUCAUAGACCAAAGAUAACCAUCCAACCUGUUGGAAUACUGAAACAAUUGCUGCCUGCUUUCCACACACUACAUAAAAUAUGUGGAUAUCCUAAAUUCUACAAAAAAAGAUUUGUAAGCAGAUCAAGCAAUACAGGGACUCCCUCUUCUCCAGAAGAGACAUCCUGGCCUCCAUGCAGAGGAAUGUGUGGAUGGACAUAUAUUUAAGGAAGACACUAAACCAGAAAAUACUACAUUACACCCUCUUAAAAGACUUCUAAGAUUGUUGUCAUGCCUACCACUGACAUUCAGAUGAUGUGUAUUCUUGAUUGUGAUUUCAUGUUUGGAGCUGAUGAAGGAGUUUGAAGUCUCCAGAGCAGCAAGGAGAGUGGGGAGUAGAACUCAUCAUCUUUAGGUCACUCAUC
rnacentral:lncRNA from 1 species